rnacentral:rRNA from 1 species
AACGAACGCUGGCGGCAGGCUUAACACAUGCAAGUCGAGCGCCCCGCAAGGGGAGCGGCAGACGGGUGAGUAACGCGUGGGAAUCUACCCAUCCCUACGGAAUAGCUCCGGGAAACUGGAAUUAAUACCGUAUCCGCCCUACGGGGGAAAGAUUUAUCGGGGAUGGAUGAGCCCGCGUUGGAUUAGCUAGUUGGUGGGGUAAAGGCCUACCAAGGCGACGAUCCAUAGCGGGUCUGAGAGGAUGAGCAGCCACAUUGGGACUGAGACACGGCCCAAACGCAUACGGGAGGCAGGAUUGGGGAAUGUUGCACUAGGGGGGCAACCCUGAUCCGGCCAGGCCGCGUGAGUGAUGAAGGCCUUAGGGUUGUAAAGCUCUUUCACCGGGGAAGAUAAUGACGUUACCCGGAGAAGAAGCCCCGGCUAAGUGCGUGCCAGCAGCCGCUGUAA